AGGUUAUGGUUUGGGCUAUGGAAAAUAGUAGUAUUCCAAAGAUGUCUCAAUCCAUUAUUCAGGAGUUUGUUGAUAUUCUUUCGGAGGAGUCACCAUCUGGGUUACCUCCACUUUGAGACUUACAACAUUGCAUUGAUUAGCCUUGCAUCACGGAAGACUUGGAGAAAACGAUCGAAAAUUUUUGCAAGAAAAGAUAGAUAACAAGCUGGCAUCAUGGAAUAGCAAGCUCCUAAACACGGCCGAUCGAUUAGCCUUGAUCAACUCGACUCUUGGAACAAUUCCGCUCUUCUGGAUAUCCUCCUUGCUAAUUCCAUCAGGAACCCCCAAGAAGAUUGAACAAAAAAGAGGAAGCUUUCUGUGGCGUGGCUUAGAAAAAUGCUUGGGAGGGCAUUGUUUAGAUGGCACCAAGUCAACCAUCGAAUCAUAGUGUCAAAAUUGCAUCUCAAGCCUGGCAGAACAUUCUUGCAGCAAGGAAGUGGUUCUUCAGUAGCUCUCCUUCAAAGCAGGCAAUGGGGAAAACACAUCCUUUUGAUUUGAUUCGUAGAGUGGGGUGGACACUUUGAAAAUAUGUUUCGGUCUUCUUCAUUCAGCUGAAAAAACCCAACAUAUCACUAGUUGAAUUCUUGGAAUCAGUAGACGAUAGUGAACUAUACUUAAGCAACAGAGGAAUGGGAAGAACUUGGGAUGUUAAGGGGACAGCAGAACGACUACGUCAUUUCUAGAGAGGAUGACAAGAUAGAAUGAAGAUGGAGCAAUAAUAAAAAUUUUUCUAUGAAGAACAAUUAUACCUUCUUCAUGCAUGGUGGAGUAUUAUCGGCCUUGGGACAAUUUCUGGAAGAUCUCACUCCCAGAAAAACUAAAGAUCUUCAACUGACUGGGCUGCCGUAAUAAAAUCCAAACAGCUGAAAAUGAAAGGAAGAAAAGAUGGAAUACUCCAGCAUCAUGCCCUCGCCCACUAUGUAUCAAUGCUAAGGAAACAACGGACCAUUUGCUCAUCCAUUGCAACUAUAGUCAGGAGAUAUGGAGACAACUUUCUCCAAAGGUAGAUAUCCCACCACUUCCUAACCACAUACACGAAAUAUGGACCAAAUGGGGAAGGCAUGGGAAAGAGAAGAGGACCAGAAUGGCAUUACACUGCCUACAGUGGUGGUACGUUGGGAAACAGGGAAAGAGAGGAAUAAUAGGAUUUUUGAUUUUGAAGCAAUGUCUGUAACUGAAGUGGUUAAGCAAGUAAUCCUAUUAUUUGAGAAUUGUGUUUCAAAGUAUAAUGAACAGUAUAAACCUCAUAUUUCAAGCCUUGUAUAAUCCUAAAAGGUGGUAUGAAUUGGUGGAGAAAGAAGAAAAUGAGUAGAGGAAGAGGAGGAUGA
rnacentral:lncRNA from 1 species